rnacentral:rRNA from 1 species
AGUGAACGCUGGCGGUAGGCCUAACACAUGCAAGUCGAACGGCAGCACAGUAAGAGCUUGCCCUUACGGGUGGCGAGUGGCGGACGGGUGAGGAAUACAUCGGAAUCUACUUUUUCGUGGGGGAUAGCGUAGGGAAACUUACGCUAAUACCGCAUACGACCUACGGGUGAAAGCAGGGGAUCUUCGGACCUUGCGCGAUUGAAUGAGACGAUGUCGGAUUAGCUAGUUGGCGGGGUAAAGGCACACCAAGGCGACGAUCCGUAGCUGGCCUGAGAGGAUGAUCAGCCACACUGGAACUGAGACACGGUCCAGACUCCUACGGGAGGCAGCAGUGGGGAAUAUUGGACAAUGGGCGCAAGCCUGAUCCAGCCAUACCGCGUGGGUGAAGAAGGCCUUCGGGUUGUAAAGCCCUUUUGUUGGGAAAGAAAAGCAGCAGGUUAAUACCCCGCUGUUCUGACGGUACCCAAAGAAUAAGCACCGGCUAACUUCGUG